GCGUGUCCCGGCCCGUGUCAGUCUCGCUGCUGCUCGCAGGCGCGUGGCCGCUGCAGUGGCGACACCGCCCCCCUCCCCCCCCCAGCGCCGCGCGGAGGCCCCCGGACACCGGCCCCGCCACGGGACAGCCACAGCUUGGCUGAGAAUGUGCUGCUGCCUGCGUAACCAACAACUUCCCACCUCAGAGACUGACUCAGGUUUUUAUCCAGCGCCACUCUGGACUAUUGAGUGAAGACACAGCAUCAGUAGUACAACAGGUUCUCUAGAACUGCUGCUGAAUUAAUCAUUCCACACUUAUUAAAAUUUUAGUCCCUGCUUCUGAUGAUUAUGGAGUUCAAGUUUUGCAUUUGUCUCAUCUGUGAACACUGUGUUGCAUGCUAUUUCUAAUACUGCUGCAGCUCAGUCUUUCAUCUAAUGCAGUUAAUGAGGAAAACCAAAUAAAAACUCUGAUGAUUUCUGUCAAGGAAACUUAAAGCAUCUGAUUCAAGACUUUUCAAACAUUUAUGUUGUUCUGGGCAUGGUAGCUACUGUGCUUCUAUCUAAAUCCCAGUAAGCUUGUACUCACCUAGAACGGGCACCCAGCAGGAUGCCAAAUGGACCCAUGAAAUUCCAUGCCCUAUUGCUGCCCUCCUUUUCAGGGCAAAGGGAUAGUUUGGGGAUUGUGACGACUAUGGUUUACACUACAGCAUAGAAUACACCUUCUUAGAUCAAAUGUAAGCAUUGAUGUGAGCGUUUCCCGCAACUUUCAAACAAAGUGGGUGAAUUUCCUGGA